UACGUAGGUGGCAAGCGUUGUCCGGAAUUAUUGGGCGUAAAGAGCUCGUAGGCGGUUUGUUGCGUCGGCUGUGAAAUCCCGAGGCUCAACCUCGGGUCUGCAGUCGAUACGAGCAAACUAGAGUGUUGCAGGGGAGACUGGAAUUCCUGGUGUAGCGGUGAAAUGCGCAGAUAUCAGGAGGAACACCCGUGGCGAAGGCGGCUCUCUGGGACGGUACUGACGCUGAGACGCGAAAGCGUGGGGAGCGAACAGG
rnacentral:rRNA from 1 species